rnacentral:rRNA from 1 species
GAUCAUGGCUCAGGACGAACGCUGGCGGCAUGCCUAACACAUGCAUGUCGAACGGGGGUAGCAAUACCCUAGUGGCGAACGGGUGAGUAACACAUAAGCAAUCUGCCCUUCACAGGGGGAUAACAGCGGGAAACUGCUGCUAAUACCGCAUAAGACCACGGUACCGCAUGGUACAGGGGUAAAAACGAAUCAGUGGUGAAGGAUGAGCUUAUGUCCCAUUAGCUAGUUGGUGAGAUAACAGCCCACCAAGGCGACGAUGGGUAGCCGACCUGAGAGGGUGAUCGGCCACACUGGAACUGAGACACGGUCCAGACUCCUACGGGAGGCAGCAGUGGGGAAUAUUGGGCAAUGGAGGAAAAACCUCUUACCCAGCAAUGCCGCGUGAGUGAAGAAGGUCUUCGGAUUGUAAAGCUCUUUGAUUGGGGACGAAGAAAGUGACGGUACCCAAAGAACAAGCCCCGGCUAACUACGUGCCAGCCGCUGC